CGCCGCUCCCGUUAGUACCGCCGCCGCUAUGAGUAGCGUUGUGACCGGGAGGAGGCCCGUGGGGAGCGCUGUUCACGCCGAUCCCGGCCCCGCCGAGGCUGCUGCUCAGGAACCUAAAAAAGCAAAUCCUCCGGCUGGGGGAAAUCAACACGUGAACAAUCCGGGGCGAUCUGCAAAGGUAGCUGGCUGAAGGACUGGCAGAGCGUCCGCGGAGCUGCUACACGCAGAGGGACCGGCUCGGGCUCUGCUCUGCCCGCUGCUUCUCCUCUGCCACCAUCACAAGGAUCAAGUGCGUUACUCUUCCACCUCCUCCGCCUCCUCGUCCAUGCCAGCGGAGUGAUACCAGGACAAGAGCGCUCAAUAAACACAGCCGCAGCAGCUCCAGCUCCUCCAGGCCGUGAGGCAGUCCCGGGGACAAGGUGCAAAAUCCGGCCCGGACCUUUAGCCAGCAGGAACGGACACGACGAUCCCCACCUAAUUCCCCCUCCGGCGCCUACUCACGCUGUUUGUUACCUUGGGCGGAAAAUCAGCUCUGCCAGGACGGAACAAGAAAGGAUCCGAAGGGAAGCUGGCGAGGCAGUCAACUUUUGACCUGGUCGCGUGUGAUAUGUGUGUGUGUGUAAUAUGCGUGCUUGUUUGUGUCCGGUUUCCUUAUUGAGCUUUCAGUGCAAGGCGAAGCUGUGUAUCAUGUUAGCCUAAAUUCUUGCGUAUUACAUUGUCAGAAUCUGUGCAUGGCUCCGCCAAAAGGGAGCAGGCUCUUCGCCUGCCUUGUCUGAUAACCUUUUCCACAUGGAAAAGUAAAGACGGAGCGGAGGAAAAAAAAAAAAGAGGCUGGCUUUAACAUAAACCCUGAUAAGCCUCCCUUCUCCCCCCACCCCAUUUGAAAAUAUUCGUUGUGAAGUGAUUUGUGCUUGCAGUCUUACUCCCUCGCUUGAGAGUAAAUAUAAACUUAUUUUCAAGUUGGUUUAAAGAUAAUCUCUGUAGCGUAACUCCUAUAUAUGUGCAUUGUAUGGUAUUUUCUGUUGACAUUCUGUUAUGUUGUUAAUUCAACUUUAUUUUUUAAAAAAAUUAGGGUGCCAAAGGCUGCCCCCACUUUUUUUUCUAUACAAGAACCCUGAAGAGGUUCAACAGGAAAAAUAAAAAUAACCAUUACUAUGUUGUUUACUGUCUUGUAAAAUUUGUAACAAGAAAAAGAUUAGCGAUUCAAAGAACUUAACAAAGGAAUCAGGGCAAAAAUAAAAUUAAAGAUAUGCUACUUGUCCUCCCCCAUGUAUAUAUAAUAAAAACAAGAGUAAAUAUUUA